AGCAAGCAGCAUCACGUGGGAUGACAGGUUCUGCCCCCCAAACCAUCACGGAGGAACCGGCGUAGGCAGUGAAGGCAAAAGGAACAAAACGCUCUUUAGGCAUCAGGAGGCACCAAAAAGCUCAGCUGCUCUCCGCAGAAUACCCGCAAUAUGUUAUCAGCGCAGGGGCUGAAAGAGAAACGUGCCGGUUAUGCCACGCUGUGCCUCGUAAACCCUCCAGGAGAGCAGCACAUCGGCUUUUAGGAGCGAUUUUUCUGCUACGGGACUGUGGGCUCGGCCUCCUUGUGAGAGAAAUUCCGCAGCCAGGCUGCGGAGCCAGUGUGCUUCAUCUGCCACUGCCACCGCUUCUACAAGGACAGGCCCUCUCACUGCUGUGCCAUUCGCUUCCACUUGGUCCUGUUCAUUAUUAGCUUUUUAUAAAUAGGUGUCCUGCAAAAACCCCUGAAAUUUAGCACAGUGGAGACCUAGGCAUGUAUAGUGCUCAUAUCCAGAUAAAUAAAUGCCCGUUGAACUGUGCAUGGGUCUGUGUGAUUCUGGAUGUGCAAUCUGGCUGCUGUUCUCAUGCCUUCAGAUAAGGAUCUUCAGCAACCCUGAGAGUGCACAGCAAGACCACCUAGAGUGUCACCUGGCAUUGGACAGACACAUUCAUCCUUUCAAGGUUCCUGUCAAAAUAAUCAGGAAUUGGAACACUUGAAACCAACUUCAUUACACAUGGCAAGCAUGAAAGAUGGAAAGAGUGAAUGAGAAUUUUAAUUGUUUUGGAAGUUUGCAGACUCUCAGAGCUCAGUGACAGCUUCCUCAGUGACAAUGAACCAAGGUCAAGCAACAGAGCUACACAAAACCAGCCUGGGGUCAAGGCCAGAUGGAGCUCUGGGCUGCAGGAGCCCUGAACCUGACAGCACAGCUCAGGGAAGUUGAGUGGUCCCUCUGUGACAUCAAACUGGCUUUGUGCAGGAAGGACAACAGAUCCCAUCUGGAUGUGAUGAUGCAGCAGACUGGUACCCACAGGGAUCUCUUUCUUCACUGGGAUGCACAUCUCUUUCAACUCAUGAUCUGAGAUGCACCAGUCAAGACAGCUCACACUGAUCCAGUGAGCAUGAUAUUCCAUGCACAACAAACUGAAAUACAUAUACAAUCUGUAGGAUGUACAUUAUAUACACAUGUGCAUAUAUAUAUAAUCAUACAACUACAGAUAGACUGCUAAACCAUAAAUCCUCAUUCCAUGUUAAACACAAUUUUUGAAUAAAAAGUUUAAAUAAAAAUUUUAA